CCCUUAGAUGUUCUGGGCCGCACGCGUGCUACACUGAGUGGAUCAGCGGGUUAGGUUGCGCGAAAGCGUUUCCUAAUCUUUAAAUCCGCUCGUGAUGGGAUUGACGGUUGCAAUUUUCUGUCAUGAACGAGGAAUACCUUGUAAGCGCGGGUCAUCAUCCCGCGCUGAGUACGUCCCUGCCCUUUGUACACACCGCCCGUCGCUCCUACCGAUUGAGUGGUCCGGUGAGGCUUUGGGAUCUGAGCGGAAAGAGCGUUUCGCUGUUUCUGCUCGGAAAACUCAGUCGAACCUUAUCAUUUAGAGGAAGGAGAAGUCGUAACA
rnacentral:rRNA from 1 species